UACGAAGGGGGCUAGCGUUGCUCGGAAUUACUGGGCGUAAAGGGCGCGUAGGCGGCACUGUUAGUCAGGCGUGAAAGUCCUGGGCUCAACCUGGGAACUGCGCUUGAUACGGCAGAGCUAGAGGAUGGAAGAGGGUCGCGGAAUUCCCAGUGUAGCGGUGAAAUGCGUAGAUAUUGGGAGGAACACCAGUGGCGAAGGCGGCUCACUGGACCGGAACUGACGCUGAGGCGCGAAAGCGUGGGGGAGCAAACGGGG
rnacentral:rRNA from 1 species